rnacentral:rRNA from 1 species
AGAGUUUGAUCAUGGCUCAGAACGAACGCUGGCGGCAUGCCUAACACAUGCAAGUCGAACGGGAUCCUGGCUUCGGUCAGGUGAGAGUGGCGGACGGGUGAGUAACGCGUGGGAACCUGCCCAGUGGUGGGGGAUAACUGCGGGAAACUGCAGCUAAUACCGCAUGAGCCCGAGAGGGGAAAGAUUUAUCGCCAUUGGAGGGGCCCGCGUUCGAUUAGGUAGUUGGUGAGGUAACGGCUCACCAAGCCGACGAUCGAUAGCUGGUCUGAGAGGAUGAUCAGCCACACUGGGACUGAGAUACGGCCCAGACUCCUACGGGAGGCAGCAGUGGGGAAUAUUGGACAAUGGGGGCAACCCUGAUCCAGCAAUGCCGCGUGAGUGAUGAAGGCCUUCGGGUUGUAAAGCUCUUUUGCCAGGGACGAUGAUGACGGUACCUGGAGAAUAAGCCCCGGCUAACUUCGUG